AUUUAAUAAACGACGAGGUAUACUACUGACACAGUAGCAUGUAUCUCCGAAUUCUAUGUUUGUCUCUCUGUGUAGGGGCCAUCUGCACAGCUAUCAGAUUAGAUGAAAGUUUUGUCUACGAAGAACAAGUGGAGAUAUACGAUGCACACCGACUCAGACGAGACGUGGAGAAGUACCCAGUCGAGAAAGAAUUCGUCUUCACUUACAAAAACCAGGGCCAUCAUUUACGGCUAAAACGAAACGCUGACGUUGAUAUAAAAACCCCGGUGUAUGUGGUACGAAACGGGAAGAUCGAACGUCAAAGUAUACCCAACAAAAAGACACCUAUAUUUUACCAGGACACAAAGAAAAUGGCAGCUAUUGCGCUGUAUUGUCAACGGAAAAUCAAAGGGAGAUGUCAACAUUCACUGGAGGGAAUGUUGAUCAUAAAUGGGACCUAUCACGCUAUCGAACCCCUUGAGGUCCCCCACCGCAGAAACAUACUCCACAGAAUCUAUCAACCACCCGAAAAUAUAGACUUUAAGGCGGACUAUGUUUUCCCAGAGGGAGGCAAACGUCCAAAGCAGUUCAACCAUACUGGGACCCAGCGAUCCAAGCGUUAUGUUGGAGAGUUAAAGGUGGAGCUGUUGGCGGUCACUGAUUACCCGGUGUAUGAUUUCUGGUACCAGAGAAGCACGCAAUUAACACCUGCCGCGAAAGACACCGAGGCCAAAGAAAAAAUACGCGAAUUUUAUGCAUUUGCUACCAAUGCAAUUGAUGUACGGUACCAGUCCAUUGCCGGUGUGACGUUCAGCAUCAAAAUAGUUUUUGCGGGUAUUGUGAUAGCCGAUGAUCCAACUGUUUCCACGUGGACGGAGUCAAUAAAGGUCAGUGCUUCCGGACGAGAUCAAGUGGAUUCGAACGGCGCUCUCGUUAACUUCCGGACCUGGCUCUCAAGUGGCAUUUCUCUUCCGGGUCAUGACCACGCUAUGCUUUUUACGGGAUAUGAUUUGACAAGUGGGGGAAGCACCAGUAAUGCCGGUCUGGCGUGGGUCGGUGCCACGUGUACUUCCAGUAGCAACUCUAUCACAGAGGAUCAUUUCGAUGCCAUUAUUGCGACAGUUGCCGCUCAUGAGCUUGGACACAACUUAGGAGCAUUACACGAUGGCGACGGUAAUGCUUGCUUAGCAGACGACAAGUACACGAUGUCGCCUAGCAGCGGUGGGGUCACUGACUCACGUGCCAUCAACCACUGGUCGUUUUCCUCCUGUUCCGUCAGCUAUUUUGAACAAUAUAUCGCAGACCUUGACAGUGGUGGCAACAACUGCUUGGCGACCCUGACGGCUGGUCACGACCCGACCGCCCUGGACAGCUAUCUGACGACCCUAGCGGGGCAGGUCUACUCCAUCGACGAACAGUGCCGAAUCAAGAAAGACAAUUCCAGUUCAUUCUUUUGCAGAAACUUCAUAUCGGACCCUGCAGCGGUGUGUGCUUUUAUGUAUUGUUCUAUCCCUGACGGAAGCGGAUAUUGCUCCACUGCGGUACCAUGGGAAGGAACAACAUGUGGGAACCAAAAGUGGUGUGUCGCUGGCCAGUGUGUGGCUGACUCCCGCGCAGCUUCAGUUCCCGACAGCUGUGUGUUCGGGGAUACCCCGGGAGUCAUCAGUAAUGGCAUGGACUGUGCGACGCUUAUAUCCAGUUUCCCGGGAUAUUGUUAUCAAUCGUUUUACCAAGGGAAAUGCUGCGGAUCAUGUGCAGCCGCCUACAUAUCAUAUAUUCCAGGAUGUGAGUAUGGCGACCACAGUACUGGAUGCGUGGCUUCUUCUUGUCCAUAUUACUCUGCAGCAACUUUGAGCAGCGGAUGUUGUGGCACCUGCUACACAGGAACAACUCCGCAACCAGCAACAACCACGGUUGGUCCAACUACCACCGCCGGGCCAACAACCACCGCCGGGCCGACUACCACACAGGAUCCAUCCCUGACAACCACCUCGACAUCCGCUCCGUCAACACCACAUCCAACCACCACCAUGGCGCCAACAACGUCAGCUCCUACUACGUCAGGGCCUACGUCAUCACAAGCAAUAACUACAACAACCCCCGCGCCCUGCUCGGGGGACAGUACCAGCGUCACCAUUGGGGGCAACAACUGUUCGGUUGCCAUUGCUAAUGCGCCGCACAAUUGUUAUGACUCUACAAUUUACGGAUAUUGCUGCGCCUCUUGUGCCUCUGUUUACACAGGAGUAGCAGGCUGUGAGUAUGGAGACAGAGGGACCACCUGUGAUGCGGCCACCUGUCCUUAUUACGACACUCAUUCCAGGGAUGUUGUUUGCUGUGGAACCUGCGCAGUUGCCACUACCCCUACCCCGGGAUCUUGUCCAAACGGAGAUAAUCCUUACUACACAGUCAAUGGAAUGAAUUGUUCCGCGGCUGCUGCCUCUCAGAGCUGGGUGUGCUAUGAUACCGCUAUUCACGACAACUGCUGUGGAUCAUGUCCAUUAUAUAACAACGGAAUCACGGGCUGUGAAUUUGGAGACAGGAGUUCAACCUGUGACGUGGCAAAUUGUCCGUAUUAUGACGCCAAUUCCCGUGACGUAGUAUGUUGUUACACGUGCAAUCCUCCUACAACAGCUUCUCCUACCACAACAACUACCACAACCACUCCAGUUCCUACCACAACAACUACCACAACCACUCCCGUUCCUACCACAACUGCAGCUCCUACCACAACAACAACCACCACUCCAGUUCCUACCACAACAACAACCACCACUACUCCAGUUCCUACCACAACAACUACCACCACUACUCCAGUUCCUACCACAACAACUACCACCACUUCUCCAGUUCCCACCACAACAACCACCACCACUACUCCAGUUCCUACCACAACCACAAUACCGUUGGGUCCAACGUCUACUUCAGAUUUAACUACACCAACCACGGGAUCUUGUUCAAACGGAGAUAAUCCUUACUACACGGUGAACGGAAUGAACUGUUCCGCGGCUGCUGCCUCUCAGAGCUGGGUGUGCUAUGAUACCGCUAUUCACGACAACUGCUGUGGAUCAUGUCCAUUAUAUAACAACGGAAUCACGGGCUGUGAAUUUGGAGACAGGAGUUCAACCUGUGACGGGGCAAAUUGUCCGUAUUAUGACGCUCAUUCCCGUGACGUAGUUUGUUGUUACACGUGCAACCCUCCGACAAAUGUUUCUCACACCACAACUCCAACAUCCAUGCCUACAAUAACAACUACUAUAAGCGUUCAUUCAUCUACAGAUUCUAUUACAACUGAAACAAUGCCUCCAAGUCCUUCAACUAAUUAUCCUACAAUCCCUCCAAGUCCAAACACUACUUAUCCUACAUCAACAAUGCCUUCAAGUCCUACAACUACUUAUCCUACCACAACAAUGCCCCCAAGUCCUACCACUACCAAUCCUACCACCACAACUUUAGUUCCUAUGACAACAACAACCACCAUGUCUGCAUUUCCUACCACUACAUCAACCACUUCAGUUCCUAGUACAACAUCUCUAGUUCCUUCCUCAACAACAUCUACAACUCUAAUUCCUACGACAACAACUACCACAACCACUACUCCAGUUCCUACCACAACAACUACAACCACCACUCCCGUUCCUACCACAACAACUACCACCACCACUCCACUUCCUACCACCACAACCACCACCACAACUCCAGUCCCUACCACUACAACUACCACAACUAUUCCACUUCCUACUACAACAACUACAACCACAACUCCAGUUCCAACCACAACAACUACUACCACAACUCCAGUUCCUACCACAACAACUACCACCACAACUCCAGUUCCUACCACAACAACUACCAUCACAACUACCACCACAACUCCAGUUCCUACCACUACAGCUACCACAACUACUCCAGUUCCUACAACAACAACUACCACCACAACUCCAGUUCCUACCACAACAACUACUGCCACAACCACCACCACAACUCCAGUUCCUACCACUACAACUACCACAACUACUCCAGUUCCUACAACAACCACAACCACUCCAGUUCCUACUACAACAACUACCACCACAACUCCAGUUCCUACCACAACAACAACCACAACCACUCCAGUUCCUACCACAACAACUACCACCACAACUCCUGUUCCUACCACAACAACUACCACCACAACUCCAGUUCCUACCACAACAAUUACCACCACAACUCCAGUUCCUACAACUACAACUACCACCACUACAACCACCACCACUACGACAACUCAGAAUCCUAACCAGGGGCUGGGUAAUAAUCGCUCCUCUAGAAUAUCUGUGUCGUACCAAGCCAUUCUGACGUGGUUACUGCUGGUAUCCAUUAAAAAAACGUAUUUGGAUGUCGUUUGAUUUGUUCUCGGAUUAACAUUUUACAUUUUAGACCUUGGAAUGUAUUAAUAUUGUAGUGCUUUCAGAUAUAUUAUUUUUAUGUUAUUUAUCAGUUACUUUUCAAUUUACUUCGUUUUGUUGUACUUAUACAAUUGUUAUUGUUUUUUUGUACAACUCCAUAUUUCUUGUUAUUGUUACUUGUUAAACUGUGCCAAGGUGCAUUACAUUAAUACUGAAAUUGAGUGUUUAUUGCAACCGCUUUCUCUUUGAAUAUAUCCACAAAAAGCCAAAAACUGUCCCAAAUUUGUGUCUUUUUGUGAAAUUAUUGACCUAUUUAUUAAACGUAGUUGUUAUCU
rnacentral:misc_RNA from 1 species